GGGGGUGUAUGGAUUCGACGGAGUUACCAAAGCAAGGCUGCAAGCGGAGCGUUUGCUAUCUCCUAAAACUGGCGAAACAAACAACAAUUGCGAACACAACAACUGCGAAUUACGCAUUCGCUGCUCCUUCUCUAAAUUAGGGGAGGCCGUCCGAUGGAGCUUCCCGCGGGCUUCACUCGGGCGUCAACUUAGCGGGUAUAUCGCGCUUUGCGCUUCCCGGAGCACGAUGAAUCACAGGAAGCUUUGGGUGAGCAAUCCUGGCCGUGGGAGGGCGCUUCCCGAGACUAAAUCACGGUUCUAAGCUUGUAGAUGCUGACCGGCGGUACCUUCGGACGCGGGUUCGACUCCCGCCACCUCCACCA
rnacentral:tmRNA from 2 species